GAGGGGCUGAGCACACAGCCCUGAGGGGAGCCUGUGCUGAGCUUCAGGGUGGAAGAUGUAAAGGACCCAGCCUUACUGUUUCUGGACAAUCUGUCAGGAAGUCUUUGAUCCAGUCACAAGUGAGGGGAGGGAAAUUCAGGCUGAUUCAGAGGACCCAAAUAAUGGCCAGGAUGGCAAAUACAGCUCUGACCUUAAAUGCUCAGGAACCACAAAAAAAGUCCCAAAAGAUCUUCUGAGAAGCUGCUCCAUUCUAGAAUCUACCUUAUUCUCCUUGCUAGAACUGGCCCUUUAAAUUCUUCAAUUAAUCCCGGAAACAUUAUUUACUGUACAUAUACUCAUAGAUCCGGAUGGCAUACAUGUUGAUUUGCAAGUUUCGAUUAGCUUAAGCCUGUCUCUAUGUUCUCUGGAUUCAGAAUCAAUACAAUAAAAGCUUUUUAAAAACCUUUAAAA